rnacentral:rRNA from 1 species
UACGGUAGGGGGCAAGCGUUUGUCCGGAAUCAUUGGGCGUAAAGAGCGUGUAGGCGGCCAGAUAAGUCCGCUGUGAAAUCUCGAGGCUCAACUUCGAGCUGUCGGUGGAAACUGUCUGGCUAGAGUCCGGAAGAGGAGAAUGGAAUUCCUGGUGUAGCGGUGAAAUGCGCAGAUAUCAGGAAGAACACCCGUGGCGAAGGCGGCCCCCUGGACCGGUACUGACGCUGAGGCGCGAAAGCGUGGGUAGCAAACGGG